rnacentral:rRNA from 1 species
GACGAACGCUGGCGGCGUGCCUAAUACAUGCAAGUCGAGCGCAGGAAAUCGACGGAACCCUUCGGGGGGAAGUCGAUGGAAUGAGCGGCGGACGGGUGAGUAACACGUAAAGAACCUGCCCUCAGGUCUGGGAUAACCACGAGAAAUCGGGGCCAAUACCGGAUGGGUCAUCGGACCGCAUGGUCCGAGGAUGAAAGGCGCUUCGGCGUCGCCUGGGGAUGGCUUUGCGGUGCAUUAGCUAGUUGGUGGGGUAAUGGCCCACCAAGGCGACGAUGCAUAGCCGACCUGAGAGGGUGAUCGGCCACACUGGGACUGAGACACGGCCCAGACUCCUACGGGAGGCAGCAGUAGGGAAUCUUCCACAAUGGACGAAAGUCUGAUGGAGCAACGCCGCGUAAACGAUGAAGGCCUUCGGGUCGUAAAGUUCUGUUGUAAGGGAAGAACAAGUGCCGCAGGCAAUGGCGGCACCUUGACGGUACCUUGCGAGAAAGCCACGGCUAACUACGUGCCAGCCGCCGCAGUAAAAC